GUAACGAUGCUUCGAGGGUGACUGUUGACGUGUGCGCCCAGGUCGGGGCGAGAGGACGGACGUAAAGUCUAUACUGUUACACCAAGAUACUAGCCUAUAUAAAACUGACCCAAUAGCAAUUCCGAUGACCGUGAUGCGUGUCUUUGCGGAGACCUGAUGAUCGGCAGGUAAUGCUGCAUUCGAGCGGAUAGAUUUUCUUCACCAUUCGGCGAUUUGCCACCGAUGCUCCUUAUAGGAGCAUAGAUGUCCACAUCAGCCGUCUCUGUAUAUGUAACGGAUGUGAAACGGCUAGCUAGUUAGCGGUGGUGACGUCACCGAUUGAAACCGCUAACUAGCUAGCCGUUUCACAUAUACCCAGCGCAAGAUCCACUGGUGGAUGCUUAUAGAAAACAUGCUCAGAAGACUGAGGGCGGGACAUUUCCUAGGGACAACAGUCCUUGUAGUGCUUCUGCCGUGAAGUCUUGGAGACUUCACUUCACCACCUCCACAUAGGAGAUCUGCUGCGCAGCCCUGAUCCUUGACACCUUGACCUCCUUCACCCUAACAGGGUGCUCAUGGAAGUCUGGAGUAUGAUCCCCACCACAGUUACAUUUUCCAUUCACAGAUUAUUCUGUUCUUCAUCAACAAAAUUAACCAAAACCAGGCUGCUUCUAAUCACCUUGAUUGAAUCCACCAUUCCCACUGCUUUCUUCACAGUCCUGAAUAUUACAAAUGGAUUUCCCAAAUUAAACUCCGUGUCUAGAAAACGCAACCCAAUAAGAAAUGCAUUAUUGAACCAGUCCUUGUCUUCUACAACUUAUGCUUGUUUUGUUCCAUUCUUUGAUUUCACUUUUCUAUUCAUUAUCACACACUUCAUUUGCCUCACUUUCAGAUUCAAGCACAGUCAGUUUCCUUCGAUAUCAUGGCGGUCUGCAAACAAUCAUUUUAAGUGCAUGCCGCCACCUACUAUGCUGGAAUGUAGGAUUAAUCAUGAUCUGCCCAAUUCUGUACUACCAUGAAAAUAAAAACAUAACAAAUAAAUCCCUAAUAACUUCUAACAAAUGCUGCACUAUGUCGUGUGCCCCCCCCCACACACACACUCAAUUACAACACUUAACCUUCACAUUGCUCCCACAUUCACUGUAGUCAUGUUCACCUCCAUGCAUGUUUUGUGUCAUGUUUGUGUCCUGCUGCAUUGUCUUCGGUCUCUGUAUUGUCGUGGUGUCUUAUUGUGAUGCGUGUCUUUAUUUUUUAUUAUCCCAUCCCCACAGGAAGCUUUUUGCCUCUUGGUAGGCCUUCAUUGUAAAUAAGAAUUUGUUCUUAAUUAACUUUCCUAGUUAAAGGUAAUACAAAAUAAAAUUGGGGGGGGGGGGGUAAUGAACACUACCUGGGUUUUGUUUUGAGAUGGCCCUAUAUGGGGUUGUUGUUGAAUAAUUACCCGGUUUGAAUAGGAAGUCCUUGUCUGCACCAUCAUGACAGACGGGGAAGAGGCGCUUUAGCAGCCUGACCAGAAGGCAAGGACACAUGGAUGGGUUCCAGCUGCUACCCUCCCCUGAGCACCUAGAACAGGUCAAUUGGGAGACGGGCUAACAGCACAGGCACAUUGCCCCUGUGUGGCCCAAACUCUCCACAGACCCUGGACACAGCAGCUGAUAUCAUAUGGACUGCACAGGAGGAAGAGGCAGUGGCCUCUGACUUUGGAGACCUGCUGGGGGUUGGGGGACCUCGACCUCUCCGCCCCACUGCCCUCCCCAUCUCGAGGGUAUCAUGGAAUGGGACUGGCAGCCAACAAAAUGAAAGAGGGAAAGAGGAGAGACUGGAGAAGGUGAAGACCAGCCACAGCAGACAAGACAGUCCAGCUGCUGCUACCAACUAUACAGAGUCAAAGAUUGUCCUGUAAGCUUUCCCAAAAGCUUGACAUUUCUCUACUGGCGCUACCGAAUUGGAUCCUUUUUGGAGGCGCAGCUGCCAAUGCUCUGUUUCAACUCCAGAAAAUAAGAUGUAGUUUCUUCAUGUGUCAUGGAUGCUGUCCCUUCAAGAUGGAGUGUCUCUGUUGGUAUGACCUGCCUCAAGGCUACAGACCCCAUCGCCGCAACGAUCAUCUUGUGCAUCAUGCCAUGAGUCUGGAUGACUUGAACAUCUUCUCGACUGUGUCACUGUUCUGACUCUUCUGGAUGACUUGAACAUCUUCUCGACUGUGUCAUUGUUCUGACUCUUCUGGAUGACUUAGACAGCUUCUUGACUUUGUCAUUGUUCUGACUCUUCUGGAUGACUUGCUGGAUGAUGACAAUGGUGUUCCCGCUGUACCUGAGUGAAUAUGACAAGACCUGAGCCCUAGGACCAUGCCUCAGGACUACCUGACAUGAUGACUCCUUGCUGUCCCUAGUCCACCUGGCCAUGCUGCUGCUCCAGUUUCAACUGUUCUGCUUUAUUUAUUAUUGGACCAUGCUGGUCAUUUAUGAACAUUUGAACACCUUGGCCAUGUUCUGUUAUAAUCUCCACCCGGCACAGCCAGAAGAGGACUGGCCACCCCACAUAGCCUGGUUCCUCUCUAGGUUUCUUCCUAGGUUUUGGCCUUUCUAGGGAGUAUUUCCUAGCCACCGUGCUUGUACACCUGCAUUGCUUGCUGUUUGGGGUUUUAGGCUGGGUUUCUGUACAGCACUUUGAGAUAUCAGCUGAUGUACGAAAGGCUAUAUAAAUAAAUUUGAUUUGUUAAGAACAAAUUCUUAUUUUACAAUGAUGGCCUACCCUGGCCAAACCCUCCCCUAACUCGGACGAUGCUGGGCCAAUGGUUCGCACCGCCCUAUGGGACUCCCAAUCACUGCCGGUUGUGAUGCAGCACCUUAGACUGCUGCGCCACUCGGGAGCCCAGAUUAGGCUUCAUGCUUACCUUUACUGUUGACAGGGAAACUCUUGUUGCGGUGUUGACAUGAUGAUUGAAGACCUAAUGUUAGAUUUGAUUUAUUCUAUUAUGUUUUCAAUGUACACACAGAAAAGGGAAUAAAAUAUUGUUUCACAGUU